GCCCUCGUCGUUCAACGGAUAGGACGGAAGUUUCCUAAACUUUAAAUACAGGUUCGAUUCCUGUCGAGGGCA
rnacentral:tRNA from 1 species